GAGGACUUUUGCCCCAUAGCUCACAAACAAGUUCUAUGUUGGCUGCUGGCCGACAUAACAGUUUGAAGUUCAAGGCUUUGGAGAUAUGAAACUGGAGGCUCUUAUUCUAGUUGAAUGAGUCAUUUAUAAAUAGGAUAUUUGUGCCAGCGAAGGGGAAAGGCCAAGGCAGUGUUAGAACACAGACCUUGGUGACGUGUACUGAUACUGACUAUCUGAGGUACGGAGUCUGGACAAAAGAGUUUGUGAACCGUGUUGUGUUUUUGUCUUUAUUUUGAUCUCUCUCUCUCUCUCGGUGAGUUCUGGCUUGGUCUUGAGAAGAUACGCGCCGUGGUCAAAGAUGCAGACUACAUCCUCAAGGUUAAGUUCUCCGACUGGAGGGGUGAUUCUGAGACCAUCCAGUACCCCAUCCGUCUGAGUGGGAAGGAGAGCCACUAUGCCCUCCACAUCCAAGACACCUCCAACAGCAACCUGGAGAGCGCCCUGGCUACCGAGGCCUCCGGCCUGCACUUCUCCACCCGCAACAAAGACAAUGACCAGAACAAUGACACCAACUGCGCCAAACACCUCUCUGGUGGCUGGUGGUUCAGCAACUGUGGACGUUCCAACCUGAACGGCCGCUACUUCAUGAGCCCUCCUCCCAAGCAGAGGCAUCAGAGGAAGCAGGGGGUCUUCUGGAAGACCUGGCGUGGCCACUACUAUCCCCUGAAGACCACCGUCAUGAUGAUCGCCCCCGCUGUGAUCGAGAACAAGUCAUAGAGGAAAGACGCUCAGCAUUCUAACACAUUUUCUCCUCUUGAACUGAAACACUGUUAGAGGUGGUUGUCCGAUGACUUGGGUAAGCUACCCAGUCAGUCCUGGCUUCACCCAGUGAGACUUCCAACAAAGACAAGGCCAUUAUAAAACACUCAAUAACUCAUACUUGAAUGGGCUCCAUGUUUCCAAUUCUGUUUUUCAAAAGUGUUAAAGUCUCUCAGCUAGAGACAAAACCAAACAAUGUUUAAAAAGUUAAGAAGUACAUGAACAUGUGAAUCGAGCAGUGAAAAGUUAGAAAGAGUGUUUCACCAAAGCUGUGGUAUGAGCUCACUCUUAAUCACUGUUUAAAGCAACGCUCAGCCUUGGGACUAAUGAAUGGAACAGAAUGAGGUGAGUUCAAACAUGUUUUGUGUCGCAAGAAACCAAGCAUUUUCCACAUGCUAAGACCCAUCUGACGGAGGUUUCUGAAUGGUAAGAGCUCUCCCAGAGGUUGAAUGCUGCCCUCGUUGGCUCGAACCAGCCAAUAAAAAUAAUUUAAAGAAAAA